rnacentral:rRNA from 1 species
GUCGAGCGGUAAGGCCUUUCGGGGUACACGAGCGGCGAACGGGUGAGUAACACGUGGGUGAUCUGCCCUGCACUCUGGGAUAAGCCCGGGAAACUGGGUCUAAUACCGGAUAUGACCGCAUGCUGCAUGGUGUGUGGUGGAAAGAUUUAUCGGUGCAGGAUGGGCCCGCGGCCUAUCAGCUUGUUGGUGGGGUAAUGGCCUACCAAGGCGACGACGGGUAGCCGACCUGAGAGGGUGACCGGCCACACUGGGACUGAGACACGGCCCAGACUCCUACGGGAGGCAGCAGUGGGGAAUAUUGCACAAUGGGCGGAAGCCUGAUGCAGCGACGCCGCGUGAGGGAUGAAGGCCUUCGGGUUGUAAACCUCUUUCAGCAGGGACGAAGCGUGAGUGACGGUACCUGCAGAAGAAGCACCGGCUAACUACGUGCCAGCAGCCGCGGUAAUACGUAGGGUGCGAGCGUUGUCCGGAAUUACUGGGCGUAAAGAGUUCGUAGGCGGUUUGUCGCGUCGUUUGUGAAAACCCGGGGCUCAACUUCGGGCUUGCAGGCGAUACGGGCAGACUUGAGUGUUUCAGGGGAGACUGGAAUUCCUGGUGUAGCGGUGAAAUGCGCAGAUAUCAGGAGGAACACCGGUGGCGAAGGCGGGUCUCUGGGAAACAACUGACGCUGAGGAACGAAAGCGUGGGUAGCAAACAGGAUUAGAUACCCUGGUAGUCCACGCCGUAAACGGUGGGCGCUA